rnacentral:rRNA from 1 species
GAUGAACGCUAGCUACAGGCUUAACACAUGCAAGUCGAGGGGCAGCAUGGUCUUAGCUUGCUAAGGCCGAUGGCGACCGGCGCACGGGUGAGUAACACGUAUCCAACCUGCCGUCUACUCUUGGACAGCCUUCUGAAAGGAAGAUUAAUACAAGAUGGCAUCAUGAGUCCGCAUGUUCACAUGAUUAAAGGUAUUCCGGUAGACGAUGGGGAUGCGUUCCAUUAGAUAGUAGGCGGGGUAACGGCCCACCUAGUCUUCGAUGGAUAGGGGUUCUGAGAGGAAGGUCCCCCACAUUGGAACUGAGACACGGUCCAAACUCCUACGGGAGGCAGCAGUGAGGAAUAUUGGUCAAUGGGCGAGAGCCUGAACCAGCCAAGUAGCGUGAAGGAUGACUGCCCUAUGGGUUGUAAACUUCUUUUAUAAAGGAAUAAAGUCGGGUAUGCAUACCCGUUUGCAUGUACUUUAUGAAUAAGGAUCGGCUAACUCCGUGCCAGCAGCCGCGGUAAUACGGAGGAUCCGAGCGUUAUCCGGAUUUAUUGGGUUUAAAGGGAGCGUAGAUGGAUGUUUAAGUCAGUUGUGAAAGUUUGCGGCUCAACCGUAAAAUUGCAGUUGAUACUGGAUAUCUUGAGUGCAGUUGAGGCAGGCGGAAUUCGUGGUGUAGCGGUGAAAUGCUUAGAUAUCACGAAGAACUCCGAUUGCGAAGGCAGCCUGCUAAGCUGCAACUGACGCUGAGGCACGAGAGCGUGGGUAGCGAACAGG